rnacentral:rRNA from 1 species
AUGGCGAGCUUUUUCCUCCUCCUCCUCCCAUCCCGAUACGAAACUAAUGCCGCCGCCGUCGCCGCCGUUUUAUUGGGCCUGUUCGCUGCCGUUCCUUUUGUUUCCCCUCCUCUUCUUCUCCGGCGUGAUCCUGGACCGAGUGCGGCGGGCACGGGUGAUCGGAGAAAGCGCCGAGGCUGGCACGGGCGAAAAGGCUCCGAUCUGGUCGGCACCGCUGUUGUCACCGGGCAGAAUGGCCGGCUGGCCAUGGGCAGGCUCGGAGCUCUCUGCGAGCAGGUGAAGGAGCUUAAUUUCCAGGGGUAUGAGGUGAUUCUGGUCACCUCUGGCGCCGUUGGCGUCGGCAGGCAGAGGCUCAAGUACCGGAAGCUUAUCAACAGCAGUUUCGCCGAUCUGCAGAACCCACAGUUGGACCUGGAUGGGAAGGCCUGCGCUGCCGUCGGCCAGAGUGGCCUAAUGGCUAUCUACGAUACGCUGUUUAGCCAACUUGAUGUGACAUCGUCUCAGCUUCUUGUUACGGAUCGUGAUUUCCGGGAUCCAAGUUUUGGGCACCAGCUUCGUGAGACUGUUGUCUCCCUGUUAGAUCUUAAGGUGAUACCGGUGUUCAACGAGAACGAUGCUAUCAGUACGAGGAGAGCGCCAUAUGAGGAUUCAUCUGGUAUAUUCUGGGAUAACGACAGUUUGGCGACGCUGUUGGCAAAAGAACUGGAUGCUGAUCUACUUAUCAUGCUUAGUGAUGUGGAGGGACUCUAUAGUGGUCCACCGAGUGAUCCUCAAUCAAAGAUUAUCCACACCUACAUCAAUGAAAAACACGGGAAGCUAAUUAAUUUUGGGGAGAAGUCUCGUGUGGGAAGAGGUGGAAUGCAAGCUAAGGUGGCAGCUGCUGUUACUGCUGCAUCAAAGGGCGUACCUGCUGUAAUUGCAAGUGGAUUUGUAACAGAUAGCAUUAUUAAGAUUAUGCGAGGAGAGAAAAUUGGUACACUUUUCCAUAAUGAAGCAAAUGUCUGGGAUUGUUCGAAGGAGGUGACAACCCGUGAGAUGGCAGUUGCUGCAAAAGAUUGCUCACGGCAUCUCCAGAAUUUGUCAUCGGAGGAGCGUAAGAAGAUUUUGCUAGAUAUUGCCGGUGCUCUGGAUGCAAACGUGGAUUUAAUUAUAUCCGAGAAUGAAGCUGAUCUAGCUGCGGCACAAGAUUCAGGUUACGAGAAAUCCUUGGUUGCUAGGAUGACCCUGAAGGCAGGAAAGAUAACAAGCCUUGCUGAAUCGAUUCGUGCAAUUGCGGACAUGGAGGACCCUAUCUCACAUACACUGAAAAAAACAGAGGUUGCUAAGGAUUUAGUUUUCGAGAAGAUGUACUGCCCAUUAGGUGUUCUCCUAAUUAUUUUUGAGUCUCGUCCUGAUGCCCUGGUCCAGAUUGCAGCUCUAGCAAUCCGAAGUGGAAACGGCCUUCUUCUGAAAGGAGGAAAAGAAGCUAUGAGAUCAAACACAAUAUUACAUAAGGUCAUAACCAGCGUGAUUCCAGAUGUUGUUGGCAAAAAGCUUAUUGGCCUUGUGAAAAGCAAAGAUGAAAUUGCUGAUCUUCUAAAGCUUGACGAUGUGAUUGAUCUUGUUAUUCCAAGAGGCAGUAACAGGCUUGUUUCUCAAAUCAAAGCACAAACCAAGAUUCCCGUUCUUGGUCAUGCUGAUGGUAUCUGCCAUGUUUAUAUUGAUAAAUCAGCUGACAUGGACAUGGCAAAACGUAUCGUAUUGGAUGCAAAGGUUGAUUAUCCUGCAGCGUGUAAUGCUAUGGAAACACUACUUGUUCAUAAAGAUCUGAACAAGACAGAGGGUCUUGAUGAUUUAUUGAUGGAACUUGCGAAAGAAGGAGUUGUUAUUUAUGGUGGGCCUGUCGCACAUGACACACUGAAAGUACCAAAGGUAGAUUCAUUUCAUCAUGAGUAUAGCUCAAUGGCAUGCACCCUCGAAUUUGUUGAUGAUGUGCAGUCAGCGAUUGACCAUAUCAAUCGUUAUGGAAGUGCACACACAGAUUGUAUUAUCACAACUGAUAAGAAGUCAGCAGAUACUUUUCUACAACAAGUUGACAGUGCUGCUGUGUUCCAUAAUGCAAGCACAAGGUUCUGUGAUGGGACUCGCUUCGGUCUAGGUGCAGAGGUUGGCAUAAGUACAGGGCGCAUACAUGCUCGUGGACCUGUUGGCGUCGACGGUCUUUUAACCACUCGGUGCAUUCUGCGAGGGAGUGGACAAGUAGUGAACGGCGACAAGGGAGUUGUGUACACCCACAAGGAUCUUCCUUUGCAAUGA